UCAAGCUGGAAAGAGCGCAAGGGGAAUGCCUUGGCAUCAGGAGCCGAAGAAGGACGUGACAAGCUGCGAAAAGCCUCGGGGAGGAGCAAAUAUCCAUUGAUCCGGGGAUAUCCGAAUGGGGCAACCCGGCUGGACAAUAUCCAGUCAUCCUGCGUUGAACAAAAUAGGCGUAGGAAGGGAACCGCCUGAACUGAAACAUCUAAGUAGGGCGAGGAAGAGACAUCAACCGAGAUUCCGCAAGUAGUGGCGAGCGAACGCGGAAGAGGCCAAACCGAGGGAUUUAUUCCUCGGGGUUGCGGACAGUCAUUUAGCGGAAGUUAUCUAGGAGAAGGGUCUGGGAAGGCCCGCCAUAGAGGGUGAGAGCCCCGUAUCCGAAAGAGAAGGCCGUGCGACUGAAUCCAGAGUACCGCGGGACACGUGAAACCCCGUGGGAAACAGGGGGGACCACCCUCCAAGCCUAAAUACUACCUGAUGACCGAUAGAGGAGCAGUACCGUGAGGGAAAGGUGAAAAGGACCCCGGGAGGGGAGUGAAAGAGAACCUGAAACCUUGUGCUUACAAGCUGUCAAAGCACGUUAACGUGUGAUGGCGUACUUUUUGUAGAACGGUCCGGCGAGUUAUAGUAACGAGCGAGCUUAAGGCAUUCAGUGCCGGAGGCGAAGCGAGAGCGAGUCUGAAUAGGGCGUAAAGUUCGUUGCCAUAGACCCGAAACCGGGUGACCUACCCAUGAGCAGGUUGAAGUGGGGGUGAAACCCCAUGGAGGACCGAACCGACCCCCGUUGCAAUGGUGGCGGAUGACUUGUGGGUAGCGGUGAAAUUCCAAUCGAACUCGGAGAUAGCUGGUUCUCCCCGAAAUAGCUUUAGGGCUAGCGUUAUGUUAGAUUACCGGAGGUAAAGCACUGAAUGGUAGCGGGGCCGAUAAGGUUACCAACGCCUAUCAAACUAAGAAUGCCGGCUAAUUGAUGCAUAGCAGUCAGACAGUGUGAGAUAAGUUUCAUUGUCAAAAGGGAAACAGCCCAGACCUACAGCUAAGGUCCCGAAUAGAUGCUAAGUGGAAAACGAUGUGGAGUUGCGAAAACAACCAGGAUGUUGGCUUAGAAGCAGCCACUCAUUAAAAGAGUGCGUAAUAGCUCACUGGUCGAGUGACUCUGCGCGGAAAAUGUAACGGGGCUAAGCAUCUAACCGAAGCUUAGGAUUGUCGUAAGACAGUGGUAGGGGAGCGUUCCAUGUGGGGUGAAGUCGCAGCGGAAGCAGCGGUGGACUGCAUGGAAGUGAGAAUGCCGGAAUGAGUAGCGAGAAUUAUGUGGGAAUCAUAAUGGCCGAAAAUCUAAGGUUUCUUGGGGAAGGUUCGUCCGCCCAAGGUAAGCCGGGAGCUAAGGCGAGGCCGAAAGGCGUAGUCGAUGCACAUACGGUAGAAAUUCCGUAGCCACCGAACUUUAAGUCAGAGGGACACUUUUGGAUAGCGGAACCCGGGCGUUGGUUGACCCGGGCGAAAGGGAGCGAAAAUAUAGUAGCGAAGUCCGCGAUGCUGAGAGGCGAGAAAAGCUCUGAUGGAUACUAAGGUGCCCGUACCGCAAACCGACACAGGUAGAUGAGGAGAGAAUCCUAAGGCCAACGGGAGAAGGGUUGUUAAGGAACUCGGCAAGUUGACCCCGUAACUUCGGAAUAAGGGGAGCCUCGCAAGAGGCCGCAGUGAAAAGGCCCAAGCAACUGUUUACCAAAAACACAGGUCUAUGCUAAAUCGAAAGAUGACGUAUAUGGGCUGACGCCUGCCCGGUGCUGGAAGGUUAAGAGGAGGGCUUAGCGCAAGCGAAGGUCUGAAUUGAAGCCCCAGUAAACGGCGGCCGUAACUAUAACGGUCCUAAGGUAGCGAAAUUCCUUGUCAGGUAAGUUCUGACCCGCACGAAUGGCGUAAUGAUCUGGGAGCUGUCUCAACUGCCCGCCCGGCGAAAUUGUAGUACCGGUGAAGAUGCCGGUUACCCGCGACUAGACGGAAAGACCCCAUGGAGCUUUACUGUAGCUUAAUAUUGGAUUUCGGUAUUCAAGGUACAGGGUAGG
rnacentral:rRNA from 1 species